rnacentral:snRNA from 1 species
AUCGCUUCUCGGCCUUUUGGCUAAGAUCAAGUGUAGUAGCUGUUUUUGGCCACAAAAGCCAAGCGUUCGAGAACGGAACAAUGGCUAUGACACCCCACGAACAGCCGAUCCCAAGGGUCGGGCUGAGAUAUA